rnacentral:rRNA from 1 species
UACAGAGGGGGCAAGCGUUGUUCGGAUUCACUGGGCGUAAAGGGUGCGUAGGUGGCGCCGUAAGUCGGGUGUGAAAUUUCGGAGCUUAACUCCGAAACUGCAUUCGAUACUGCGGUGCUUGAGGACUGGAGAGGAGACUGGAAUUCAUGGUGUAGCAGUGAAAUGCGUAGAGAUCAUGAGGAAGACCAGUGGCGAAGGCGGGUCUCUGGACAGUUCCUGACACUGAGGCACGAAGGCCAGGGGAGCAAACGGG